UACAGAGGGUGCGAGCGUUGUUCGGAAUUACUGGGCGUAAAGGGCGCGUAGGCGGCCUUCUAAGUCGGACGUGAAAUCCCUCGGCUUAACCGAGGAACUGCGUCCGAUACUGAAAGGCUUGAAUCCGGGAGAGGGAUGUGGAAUUCCAGGUGUAGCGGUGAAAUGCGUAGAUAUCUGGAGGAACACCGGUGGCGAAGGCGGCAUCCUGGACCGGUAUUGACGCUGAGGCGCGAAAGCUAGGGGAGCAAACGGG
rnacentral:rRNA from 1 species